UACGUAGGGUGCAAGCGUUGUCCGGAAUUAUUGGGCGUAAAGAGCUCGUAGGCGGUCUGUCGCGUCGGAUGUGAAAAUCCAGGGCUCAACCCUGGACCUGCAUUCGAUACGGGCAGACUAGAGUUCGGUAGGGGAGACUGGAAUUCCUGGUGUAGCGGUGAAAUGCGCAGAUACCAGGAGGAACACCGGUGGCGAAGGCGGGUCUCUGGGCCGAAACUGACGCUGAGGAGCGAAAGCGUGGGGAGCAAACAGG
rnacentral:rRNA from 1 species